UAACACAGUCUGAUGAGAUGCCCCUCUCUGGUGCUUACAGCUCAGGAACUGCAACUUCACCGCGUUCAACAAGUACUUCAAGUAUGGACACCACACCUCGUCAACUGUCUGGAUAGAGUAUGGAUUCAUUUCCAUUGAGCUUUCAUCAACUUUGGAGUCAAUGUUGUGGAUGUUUGGUGACAUGACCAGGUUAUGAUGCUUUGUGUGCAAACUGGGAACUCAACUUGUUUCUUUCUUUCAUCACCAGUUCAGUUGAAUUUGAUUCUUGUUCUUUCAGAACCAGUCGUUUUAAUUGAAUUGAUGUUUGAAUAUUGCUGUAAUAAUGGUUACCUGCUACAGCUGAAUAAAAAUACGGAGAAUGGGAAA